GAUGAAGAACGUAGCGAAAUGCGAUAAGUAGUGUGAAUUGCAGAAUUCCGUGAAUCAUCGAAUCUUUGAACGCACAUUGCGCCUUCUGGUAUUCCGGAAGGCAUGCCUGUUCGAGAGUCAUUAACAACCGUUUCGAUCCCUUUCUUUCAGAAAUUACAAAGAGGAAAAGGGUUUGGUUAUGGUGGAGGAGGGAAAGGGAGCGUUUAGCCUGUAAAAAAAGAGGCUGUGUUCCGCCUCCCCCCCAAAAAUGUACAGGCGGUCGUGUGCGCCCACGCAUCGAGGUGUUGUAAAAGCUGCCACGGCACUUUUCACCUGUGCAGUGCGAGAUUGGCCAGCCGGUUUAAAAACCCCUCCAAACAAUCAAAGGUUGACCUCGGAUCAGGUAGGGAUACCCGCUGAACUUAAGCAUAUCAAUAAGCGGAGGA
rnacentral:misc_RNA from 1 species